rnacentral:rRNA from 1 species
GAUGAACGCUGGCGGCGUGCCUAAUACAUGCAAGUCGAGCGAACGGACGAGAAGCUUGCUUCUCUGAUGUUAGCGGCGGACGGGUGAGUAACACGUGGAUAACCUACAUAUAAGACUGGGAUAACUUCGGGAAACCGUAGCUAAUACCGGAUAAUAUUUUGAACCGCAUGGUUCAAAAGUGAAAGACGGUUUUGCUGUCACUUAUAGAUGGAUCCGCGCUGCAUUAGCUAGUUGGUAAGGUAACGGCUUACCAAGGCAACGAUGCAUAGCCGACCUGAGAGGGUCAUUGGGCAGACGGGAAGUGAGACACGGUCCAGACUCCUACGGGAAGAAGCAGUAGGGAAUCUUCCGCAAUGGGCGAAAGCCUGACGGAGCAACGCCGCGUGAGUGAUGAAGGUCUUAGGAUCGUAAAACUCUGUUAUUAGGGAAGAAGAUAUGUGUAAGUAACUGUGCACAUCUUGACGGUACCUAAACAGAAAGCCACGGCUAACUACGUG